rnacentral:rRNA from 1 species
CCUCAGUCCGGCCUCCAAAUACAUGCAAGUCGAGCGAAUGGAUUAAGAGCUUGCUCUUAUGAAGUUAGCGGCGGACGGGUGAGUAACACGUGGGUAACCUGCCCAUAAGACUGGGAUAACUCCGGGAAACCGGGGCUAAUACCGGAUAACAUUUUGAACUGCAUGGUUCGAAAUUGAAAGGCGGCUUCGGCUGUCACUUAUGGAUGGACCCGCGUCGCAUUAGCUAGUUGGUGAGGUAACGGCUCACCAAGGCAACGAUGCGUAGCCGACCUGAGAGGGUGAUCGGCCACACUGGGACUGAGACACGGCCCAGACUCCUACGGGAGGCAGCAGUAGGGAAUCUUCCGCAAUGGACGAAAGUCUGACGGAGCAACGCCGCGUGAGUGAUGAAGGCUUUCGGGUCGUAAAACUCUGUUGUUAGGGAAGAACAAGUGCUAGUUGAAUAAGCUGGCACCUUGACGGUACCUAACCAGAAAGCCACGGCUAACUACGUGCCAGCAGCCGCGGUAAUACGUAGGUGGCAAGCGUUAUCCGGAAUUAUUGGGCGUAAAGCGCGCGCAGGUGGUUUCUUAAGUCUGAUGUGAAAGCCCACGGCUCAACCGUGGAGGGUCAUUGGAAACUGGGAGACUUGAGUGCAGAAGAGGAAAGUGGAAUUCCAUGUGUAGCGGUGAAAUGCGUAGAGAUAUGGAGGAACACCAGUGGCGAAGGCGACUUUUCUGGGUCUGUAACUGACACUUGAGGCCGCGAAAAGCGGUGGGGGGAGCCAAAACAAGGGAUUAAGAUACCCC